UGCAUAUCCAAAAAGCGGAGGAAAAGAAACCAACAGGGAUUGCCCUAGUAACGGCGAGUGAAGCGGCAACAGCUCAAAUUUGAAAGCUGGCUUAGGCCCGCAUUGUAAUUUGCAGAGGAUGCUUCUGGCGAGGUGCCUUCCGAGUUCCCUGGAACGGGACGCCAUAGAGGGUGAGAGCCCCGUAUGGAUGGACACCAGACCUGUGUGAAGCUCCUUCAACGAGUCGAGUAGUUUGGGAAUGCUGCUCUAAAUGGGAGGUAAAUCUCUUCUAAAGCUAAAUACCGGCCAGAGACCGAUAGCGCACAAGUAGAGUGAUCGAAAGAUGAAAAGCACCUUGAAAAGGGGGUUAAACAGUACGUGAAAUUGUUGAAAGGGAAGCGCUUGUGACCAGACUUGCGCCGGGCAGCUCAUCAGGGGUUCUCCCCUGUGCACUCUGCCCGGCUCAGGCCAGCAUCGGUUCUCGUGGGAGGAUAAGAACGGUAGGAACGUGGCCCCCCUCCGGGGGGGUGUUAUAGCCUGCCGUACGAUACUCCCGUGGGGACCGAGGUUCGCGCUCCGCAAGGAUGCUGGCGUAAUGGUCAUCAGCGACCCGUCUUGAAACACGGACCAAAA
rnacentral:rRNA from 1 species